GAGCCCUGGUCUGGGAGCCUGGUGAGCUGGUGGGGGGGAGCCAGGACGCUCCUUCUUUGGGUGUGGCAAAGUUUGCAAGAUUGUUUAAGUACAAAUGCACCUCUCUGCCCACUGAAAAAGGUGUAUUGUUAGGUUUAAGGUUGUGAGGCUGCACGAGUUUUAGUUCCACUUCACCACUUGGAUCCUUUUUGAGGAAAAUCUGUGUGUCUGUUACCUCGUGUUGGGAGGGGAGCGAACAGUCUUGCAGGAAUUUUGUGGGAAGUAUAAUGCCGGCUCCCCUGUGAAGGAACAAGCAGCCAGCCUGUCGCCUGGUGAGGAAAUAAACAACUAGUCAGGUAGAGAUAACUCCCGCAGUUCAGACUCCUCUCGCUGUGGGCGUGGCUUGUGGAGCUGGUUCUGAGAGCUGGGUGAGCGCCCAGCCUGAUUUGGCCUGGAAGGCUGGACCCGCCCUGCCAAUCAAGCUGCCAAGCCAAGUUUUGCCUCCAGCUCAAGAGGCAUGAAUUGAUUUUUAGAACGUUUUCUUUUCUGGGGAGAUGGCCUAGUGGGUAAGAACGCUUGGUGUUCCAGCGUGGGGGAACUGAAUUAAAAAGCCCUGCAUGGCCCCUACAGGUGCCUGUAAGCCCCGUGGAGGGCAGCUACAGGAGGAUUUCUGGGACUUACUGGAUGUCAGCCUAGCUCCAGGUUCAAUGAGAGAUCCUAUGUGAAGGGAGUGAAGAAUGUUGGACACCUGAUGGCCUCCUCUGGCCUGAGAGCUGGAGAGGAACCGUUUCUUGCUGAUGGGGUUAAAGGCAAAGUACAAAGGCUCUCAACAUCCCCUUUCACUUUCUUUUUCACAAAAGCAAUUUAUUAACUAAUCAAGCGGCCAAGGCAGGAAGGAGAAACACCUAAUGGGAAAGUGGUCACUGUUGGUUUCUGAGUAUCCAUGAGCUUUCAUGUAUUCCUCUAUUAUAGGCUUUGAAAUUCACGAAGCCGCAAGCCUGCUUC
rnacentral:lncRNA from 1 species